AGCGGCGGACGGGUGAGUAAUGUCUGGGAAACUGCCUGAUGGAGGGGGAUAACUACUGGAAACGGUAGCUAAUACCGCAUAACGUCGCAAGACCAAAGUGGGGGACCUUCGGGCCUCAUGCCAUCAGAUGUGCCCAGAUGGGAUUAGCUAGUAGGUGGGGUAACGGCUCACCUAGGCGACGAUCCCUAGCUGGUCUGAGAGGAUGACCAGCCACACUGGAACUGAGA
rnacentral:rRNA from 1 species